GCCGGCGAAAGAGUUGAACUC
rnacentral:miRNA from 1 species